rnacentral:lncRNA from 1 species
GCGGGACCAUGAAGCUCCAGCUUGUACUCCGGAAGAACUCUAUAUUGAACCUUUAUCAGUAGAAGUUCAUCCGGUGUCAGAGAACAGGGAAUGGCGUUCGGCGCAAAAACUGGAUGAGACCCAACCCUAUAUAUGGGUUCGUCUACAGUAUGAGGGUUCUGAGGGACUGAGGCAGACGAACUUCCAGAAUCACUAGAGGUGGAGGUA